rnacentral:rRNA from 1 species
UACGGAGGGUGCAAGCGUUGUUCGGAAUCAUUGGGCGUAAAGCGCGUGUAGGCGGCUUGGCAAGUCAGUUGUGAAAGCCCGGGGCCCAACCCCGGAACAGCAUUUGAAACUACAUUUCUAGAGGGUAGACGGAGAAAACGGAAUUCCACAAGUAGCGGUGAAAUGCGUAGAUAUGUGGAAGAACACCAGUGGCGAAGGCGGUUUUCUAGCUUAUACCUGACGCUGAGGCGCGAAAGCAAGGGGAGCAAACAGG